UACGUAGGGCGCAAGCGUUGUCCGGAAUUAUUGGGCGUAAAGAGCUCGCAGGCGGUUUGUCGCGUCUGCUGUGAAAACUCGAGGCUCAACCUCGGGCUUGCAGUGGGUACGGGCAGACUAGAGUGCGGUAGGGGUGACUGGAAUUCCUGGUGUAGCGGUGGAAUGCGCAGAUAUCAGGAGGAACACCGAUGGCGAAGGCAGGUCACUGGGCCGCAACUGACGCUGAGGAGCGAAAGCUAGGGGAGCAAACAGG
rnacentral:rRNA from 1 species